rnacentral:lncRNA from 1 species
AUCAUCAUCUCCAUCUACCUUCGAGUCGCACUGUCCAUGCUCUUGUCUACUUCAGCAACCUUCUUUUUAGCCACCUUUUUAACGAUUCUUGUCUUUGAAGGGGUCUGCUCAUUAGCCUUAGCACCAGGAUCUGAGCUCCCACCUGUUUGAGCUCCAACAAUAAUUUCUGAGCCCUUCUCUUCAUUUUCCCCGGGUCUCGCAACACCCUUCUCGUCGUUGAC